CAUGAACGUUGGCGGCGUGGAUUAGGCAUGCAAGUCGAGCGCGAUGAGUUUGGUAGCUUGCUAUUGAACUCGGAAAGCGGCGAAAGGGAGAGUAACGCGUAGUUACGUGCCCCAGGGUUCGGAAUAGCCACGGGAAACUGUGGGUAAUGCCGAAUAACAUCUCCGGAGCAAAGGUGUGAUUCCGCCCUGGGAGCGGACUGCGUCCUACUAGCUAGUUGGCGGGGUAAUGGCCCACCAAGGCAACAAUGGGUAGCGGGUGUGAGAGCAUGACCCGUCUCACUGGGACUGAGACACUGCCCAGACACCUACGGGUGGCUGCAGUCGAGAAUCUUCGGCAAUGGGCGAAAGCCUGACCGAGCGACGCCGCGUGCGGGAUGAAGGCCCUCGGGUUGUAAACCGCUGUCGUAGGGGAGGAAGGCUCUGUGAAGAACAGGGUUUGACCUAUCCUAGGAGGAAGUACGGGCUAAGUUCGUGCCAGCAGCCGCAGUAACAC
rnacentral:rRNA from 1 species